rnacentral:rRNA from 1 species
UACGGAGGGUGCAAGCGUUAUCCGGAUUUACUGGGUUUAAAGGGUGCGCAGGCGGAUAUGUAAGUCAGUGGUGAAAUCUCCGGGCUUAACCCGGAACUGCCGUUGAUACUAUAUAUCUUGGAUGCUGUGGAGGUAAGCAGAAUAUGAUCAUGUAGCGGUGAAAUGCUUAGAGAUGACAUAGAAUACCUAUUGCGAAGGCAGCUUACUACGCAGAUAUUGACGCUCAUGCACGAAAGCGUGGGGAUCAAACAGG